rnacentral:lncRNA from 1 species
UCGGAGAGCACUUCGGAUUCCACGAAUUGAGCGAAAACAAUAAUAACUACAGAAUUUUUUUCAAAGGAAAAUCGAAUUAAUGGAUACGAAUAAACAUGUAUGUAUAAUGUAUGUAUAGGCGGUGUGUGUGAUUGGGAGGAGUGGCCCGCCGGAAAAUAUUAAACUAAUCAGAAAUAUGAAAAUGAAGCCCAGUCUCCGCGAAGCUAUAGACUUGCUAUACAAGGAAGCUACCACAGCCGCCACUGAGUCCUACACGCGCCUCCUCCUUGAUUGCAUUCGCAACCGAGAUGCCCACCAAGCGAAGAGACUCCAAGCCCACAUGGAAUACCAAAUGCAUUCACCCACUACAGCAUUCUUUUACAACCGCCUCUUACAGCUCUAUGUCCAGUCGGGUUGGCUUUCAGACGCCCGUAAUCUGUUUGAUAAAAUGUCCAAAAGGGAUAUCUUUUCAUACAAUGUGAUGCUUUCGGGUUAUUCUAAAGUGGAUUCUGUUGAAGAUUUGAAGGAGUUUUUUGGCUCAAUGCCUUUUCGCGAUUCAGUUUCGUAUAAUAUUGUGAUUGCGGGAUUGGGGUCUAAUGGGUGCGAAAAGAAUGCUUUGGAAUUCUUCGUGAAAAUGCAGAGAGAAAGAAUUGUUCCAACAGAGUACACUUAUGUUAGUCUUUUGAAAGUUUGUACCAAAUUGAUGUAUUUUGAAAGUGGUAAACAAAUUCUCUGCAAGAUUUUUGUUUCUGGAUUAUGGAAUAAGGCCAAUGUGUUUGUUUUGAAUGCCUUGUGUGAUUUUUAUGCCAAGUGUGGUAAGAUUGACAUGGCAGAAUGGUUGUUUGAUAAGAUUGUUCAUAAGAAUUUGGUUUCAUGGAAUUUGAUGAUUUCAGGGUAUUUGAGAAACGGACAACCCAUGAAAUGCAUUAAGAUGUUUGAUGAGAUGAAAGUUUUGGGUUUGAAAAUGGAUCAAGUUACCAUUUCUAAUGUCAUUGGUGCCUUUUUUAAGAUCGGGUGUGUAGAUGAGGCACGUAGAGCUUUUAGGCAGAUUAAAGAGAAGGAUAAGGUUUGUUGGACAGCUAUGAUUGUGGGGUAUGGGCAAAUUGGGCUAGAAGAGAAUGCAUUGAUGUUGUUCAGGGAGAUGCUAUUAGAAAAUGUGAGGCCUGAUAAGUUUACCAUGUCAACCAUGAUUAGUUCGUGUGCCAAAUUGGCUUCUAUGGUCGAAGGUCAGGUAAUGCACGGAAGGACUGUGCACAUGGGAGUUGAAAAUGAUUUGCUUGUUUCUAGUGCCCUUGUUGAUAUGUAUUCUAAAUGUGGAGAAAUUACACAUGCUUGGGUUGUUUUUUAUGAGAUGCCAGUCAAAAGUGUGGUCUCUUGGAAUUCCAUGCUUGUAGGCUAUGCCCAAAAUGGCAAAGAUCUUGAAGCGUUGGCCCUUUAUGAAGAAAUGCUCCGGUUGGACAUAAAACCAGAAAAUAUUACCUUUGUUGGUGUGUUGUCUGCUUGCAUUCAUGCAGGUCUUACAGAUCAGGGAGAGCGAUAUUUUCAAUCAAUCAAAGAGAUACAUGGGAUGACACCGAGUUUGGAUCAUUAUGUAUGCAUGAUUACUCUUCUUGGCCGUUCUGGUAACAUAGACAAAGCAACAGAUCUUAUAAGAGGGAUGCCACACAAACCAAAUCACAUGAUUUGGUCAACCUUUUUAUCAGUUUGCAGGAAGAAUGCAGAUAUCAAACAUGCAGAAAUGGCAGCAGAAAACCUUUUUAAGUUGGAUCCACUCAAUGCUGAACCUUAUAUAAUCCUCUCCAACAUGUAUGCUCAUCAUGGAAGAUGGAAAGAUGUGGCAUUCAUUAGGUCUCUUAUGAAAAACAAGCAGGUUAAAAAAUUCACUGCUUACAGUUGGAUUCAGCUUGACGGAAAGGUCUAUAAAUUUCUUUCAGGAGAUCGAAGUCAUCCUGAAUCAGAACUUAUACAUCUAGAACUAGAUUCGCUGAUAAAAAAGCUACAAGAAGCUGGAUUUGCACCAAAUAAAAGUUUUGUUUUACACAAUGUGGGGGAAGAUGAGAAACUCGAAUCUAUAUGCCAUCACAGUGAGAAACUUGCCCUUGCUUUUGGAUUGAUUAGAAAAUCUUCUUCAGCAUCGCCUAUUAGGAUUAUAAAGAAUAUCCGCAUUUGUGGAGAUUGCCAUCUGUUUAUGAAGUUUGUAUCCAAAAUUCUUAGUCGGCAUAUCAUUUUAAGAGAUGCUAACAGAUUUCAUCAUUUCGUUGGAGGCCAGUGCUCAUGCAAGGACCUUUGGUGAUCAUUCUACCAACUAUCAGCCUCAUGAAUUCUAGCAACUAUCAGCCUCAUGAAAGCCAAUAGUGGCAGGUAAACAUGGCAGAAACUUGCACGAGCAUCCAUGGAAUAUGUUGAAGAGAGAAAUGAUUGGUUGAGCUGGAACUUUAUGCAGGCUCAGUGACCUUAGCAGUGUAAACUUUGAGCUGAGCAGAUACAUUGCGCAGCUUUCGAUGAAUAAGAUGUUAGAAUAUUACACAACUCUGGAGUUUUCCUGAAAAUGAUUCGACUGAUAGUAGGCCUCUUUGGAAAUAUUCUAGGUGAGUAAUUACUGAAGCUAGAUUGUUCUAAAUUUCACAGCUUCUCCUGUUACAUAAUAUAUUUUCUCAUCCUAAUAUCGGUCAAUUUUUAUAUCUGGGUGUUACAAUUUACAUGUAACAAAUGCUUUGGCUGUUGACUUGGUAUAUAAUAUACUGAAUUAAAAGUGCUUCUUUAGUUAACUUGGAAAAAUGCUUUCCUGAUUGAACGCUGUUGUUGACUUAUUUAAUUUCUGUUGUCAUGCUGUCUAAAAGAGACAGGUGAGCACUGGAUUGAUUCUGAGGCCACUCCUACCAUGCUGAAUUGCCUCACGUACUAACUUUCAUAUUACAUUUGCAAUUUGUUUUUGAACGUGAUGCUUAUUUGAAGACAGAUGUUAAAGACGACAAUAGGUUGAGGCAUACUGAUUGGAAAGAGAUAUUUCAAGCUUGCCCACUUUAUAUAUUGUUAAUUUUCAAAACCAUUAUGUUUCAUACUUAUUUGAAGGGGCAAGACUGAGCAUAAAAUAUUUAUUUCCGAACCAGCUUACUGUGGGUGAAAGAUAACUUACCACUAAUGGAUCAUGCUUGUCAGCAAGUUAUGCUGAUUUUUUAAACUUACAGCAGAUCCAUUGUGUAUAUAAUGAUAUCUAAUGUGCUCUCGGAGAUCUAUCGUAUCUUACUUUUGGUGCUCAUCCUCUCUAUGUUUAGCAUUCCAAGGGUUGAUGGUUCAUUACUUGCAAAAUUUUCUGUUUUUCCUUUAUUGCUUUGACCUCAGUAUAAAGCUAUCAAUUGAACUCAGAGAUAUAGAAUUGAAAGGGACAAGCAUUCCAAGCAGGUAUUUGUGAAAUUUUAUUAUGUCAAAUAAAUGCUCAAAAUAUAAAUUUUCAAAUUUUUUUUGGCCGAACUGAUGAUAUGAAAUAAGGAAGGAUUAUUUCAUCACAUCUCUUUUUUCUGACUUGUAUUAUUCACUCAGUCACUGAUGACUGACAUGUUUAUUUUUGCUACAUUACCCGUUCUAUAUUGAAACCCAAUGCUAAUUGUUUAUAUUAUUGCGUUGAGUUUGACAUAGAGACAAGACUGCACCAGGAGAUUUACUACAAAGUGCUUUUGAAACUAUGUUUAAUGCUUGAACAUAAGUUGAAUUUAGUUCGUUUGAGUUAUUCAUGGUGGCUCUAUUUUGCUUUUUCCAUUUUCAUUUUGUAGGUAUUCACCACACACAGGAUGGUCCAGAUAUACAAAUUAAGACCUCCAACGAACAGAAUCUGUGUGAAGACUGAGAAAUCUAAAUUGGUGUGUAAAAGUCCUACUUCGUCUUUUUUUUAUUUCAUGGUAUUCAUAUCAUAGAAGUCCAAUGUCAUUGGCUUCUACACCGCACUUUGCAGAAAACAAGUUCAAAGAGAAGUGGAAUGCUAAAGAAUUGGGCAUUAACUGGCACUUUGUGGUAAUCAUUGGCAUCCAUUCUGUUAUAACAUGGAAGGAUUUGGAUCAGAAGCCUCAUCAAGAGGAUAAACGGAAAGAACUUAGUUCCUUACCUUAAAGAGAUAAAAAAAGAAGCCACAAGAUUUUCCUAUAUCUUCCGUUUCCUCUAGUUUAACAAUCACAUUAAUACUUGAUACGUUGCUUGCAAAUCAACAUCGAGACAAUUUUGAACCUGCUGUGUAGGCUUUUAACUGUCUAAAAAUUGAAUAUAAUCCUAUGCAUCCCGUGAUGUAGGUUCAGUUAGAAAUAUUCUUGGAACAUCUUUGUGCAUUUUUCCAAUCGUAACAGAUUUUUGUCCUGUAAGUUUUCUCCUCAAGGCAUCUUAUUGUUCAAUGAGUUUUUCCUAGCCAUAUUUUGGGCAUUUUAAUUUCAAUUCUUCUAAUUUAUGUA